GCACCCUCGGGUGCUCAGUGGCGCACGGCUGAGGAACACGUGGGAAUCUGUCCCGGAGUGGGGGAUAACACCGCGAAAGCGGUGCUAAUCCCGCAUACGCUCCAAGGAGGAAAGUCGCAAGACGCUCCGGGGUGAGCCCGCGGCCCAUCAGGUUGUUGGUGGGGUAAUGGCCUACCAAGCCCAUGACGGGUUGCUGGUCUGUGAGGACGACCAGCCAGACUGGGACUGAGACACGGCCCAGACUCCUACGGGAGGCAGCAGCAAGGAAUUUUCGGCAAUGGGCGCAAGCCUGACCGAGCAACGCCGCGUGCGGGAUGACGGCCUUCGGGUUGUAAACCGCUUUUGGGGGGGACGACUUCGACGGUACCCCCUGAAUAAGCCCCGGCUAACUCUGUGCCAGCAGCCGCGGUAAGACAGAGGGGGCAAGCGUUGUCCGGAUUGACUGGGCGUAAAGGGUCCGCAGGUGGCCUGGCACGUGUGGUGUGAAACCACCCAGCUUAACUGGGUGUCGCCAUCGCAUACGGCCCGGCUUGAGCGUCGCAGAGGUGCGUGGAAUUGCCGGUGUAGUGGUGAAAUGCGUAGAGAUCGGCAGGAACACCAAGGGGGAAGCCAGCGCACUGGGCGAUUGCUGACACUCAGGGACGAGAGCGUGGGGAGCCAACUGGAUUAGAUACCCAGGUCGUCCACGCCGUAAACGAUGGAUGCUCGGCCCGUGGGACCUAUCAACGGUCCUGGGGGCCUCAGCUCACGCGCAAGCAUCCCGCCUGGGAACUACGAGCGCAAGCUUAAAACUCAAAGGA
rnacentral:rRNA from 1 species